rnacentral:rRNA from 1 species
AGCGAACGCUGGCGGUAGGCCUAACACAUGCAAGUCGAACGGCAGCACAGUAAGUGCUUGCUCUUACGGGUGGCGAGUGGCGGACGGGUGAGGAAUACAUCGGACUCUACUUUUUCGUGGGGGAUAACGUAGGGAAACUUACGCCCAUACCGCAUACGACCUACGGGUGAAAGCAGGGGAUCUUCGGACCUUGCGCGAUUGAAUGAGCCGAUGUCGGAUUAGCUAGUUGGCGGGGUAAAGGCCCACCAAGGCGACGAUCCGUAGCUGGACGGAGAGGAUGAUCGGCCACACGGGAACUGGAACACGGACCAGACUCCUACGAGAGGCAGCAGUGGGGAAUAUUGGACAAUGGGCGCAAGCCUGAUCCAGCCAUACCGCGUGGGUGAAGAAGACCUUCGGGUUGUAAAGCCCGUUUGUUGGGAGAGAAAAGCAGCAGGUUAAGACCCCGCUGUUCUGACGGUACCCAAAGAAUAAGCACCGGCUAACUUCGUG